AAAACCGCUUUGCCAUGGGUCCAGCCAAAUGGAGCUCAUACACGUGAGUGAAGAAGGGUUUCGGCUCGUCAAGCUCUGUUGUUGGAGAAGAACGUGCGUGAGAGUAACUGUUCACGCAGUGACGGUAUCCAACCAGAAAGUCACGGCUAACUACGUGCCAGCAGCCGCGGUAAUACA
rnacentral:rRNA from 1 species